UUUUUCUGUUUUUAUUUGCUCUCCUGUGGCUUGUUCUUGUAUUAUCAUAAAGUAAGAGUUAUUCAUGGCUUCAAAUUGAAAAGUAACUUGCAGAAGUUAAUGCAAGUGGAAGGAAACUUUUUUAGAAGGUGAAUUUGAGCACAUGGCAAAAUAACAUUCUAUUGAUUAGAGUUCUUCCUCUACCACAGUCAGUACAUGGUCUAAGCUACUAAAUCACUAGGUUAGCCUUCAUAACAAGGAGUGUCCAAGAGCAAAUAAUUGUGCAUAUUUUGCGUGUUUUUGGUCCUUAAACAGGCAAUAAAAGAACUUGGCCAAUAUCCAGCCAUCUUGACCUCACGCCUGGUCAAUAACCCAUACAUGUAUGUACAAUGUAACUGGACUGAGUGGAGCACAAUUCAGGGUGUAGAUGACAAGGAAAGUUUGUUUUCUGACAACAAAUCAUGGUCGUUUUCCAAGCUAGUCUACAGCUCGGAAACUUUUAUAUUCUAACCUGUUUUCUGACCUCAAUUCAUGGACAUAUUCUGUCCAUACUACAAAAUAUUCAUUCCUGAUGACAAGGGUUGAGUUUUGAAAAUCAACAGCAGCUUUGAACAGUUGCCUUGAAUCAAUGCAUAGAUGAUGUAAUUCAACCCAGCUGCAAGGAGGGCCAAAUCGGUGAACAUGGUCGUCGCAAAAAAAAGUCUCGCUACAGACUGGAUUAUGAUUGUAUUGCAUUUCGUGAAUGCAAUAACUAGUGUUAUCUUCAAAACAAAUUUAACCACAAAAUAAUAGCAUGCUUUAAACAGGGAUCCAGAUUUGCAGUCAUCCAGUUGUCCGAGACCACUAAAAAAUUGUAAGGAUCACCAUAUCAAUACAAAAACUCAUUUAUUGGACAAGUUUAGUUUGACUUGACCAAAAAAGAACAUUUCUUAAAUUUUCUUGUAAGUUGGCUGCAUUCUGACCACUUGUCAUCCAUCUGGAACUUUUAGAAAACAGAGAAAUAUUUGCAGCUUUCUUUUGCAAUAAAAUCAUCAUUUUGGUCCACAAUCUUGGAUGAUGUGGUAUUCUCCGUGACUAAAAUCAUUGCAGGCUCAAUUUUCAUUUUGUCAACCACUGACACUGAUGCUCACGAAAACAUGUGAUACGAUCGCUUCAGAUGCUAACACUUCAGAAAAACAAGCCAAAUAUGAACAGAAGAGUCAAACAUUCGUUUCAGUCUUCAUGGCACUCAAAGAGGCCUUGGUUUUCAUUUGUACCUGGAUAUUCUGUCUCACUGUUCUGAGAGACUGGUCUGGUGAAAAUGAUAAAAAAGUACACUUUCCAUGUACAGUCAUGUUGUUCAGGUACCAUUCUUCCCUGUUGAACAGGCUACUAAAAGUUUGGCUGAUGACUUAGAGAAAAAACCAAUAUGGAUCCCUGCUUUAAAUAAUGUAAAAGGAUACCAAUGAGGUGAAUAUUAUGAUAAAGGGACCCAAUGGGCAUGUUAGCAUGAAACCACAACUUACAUUAAUUUUCAGGGAGAAAAUGCUCAACACUGUAAUGCCCAUGUUGGGCUGUUGAAAAUGCACUCCUAUAGGCCCCUACACUAGUUAGUUUCAUGGAAUUAAAAUAAACUUACUACUAAAAACCCUAUAACUUGGGAAGUUUUUUUGGAGAAGGCUUUAUCAGGAGCUAGUUUCUUUAGCUUGAGUAAUUUAAGCCAGAGGACUUAAAAUCCAUACUGUAGGGAUAUCAUAGGAUUGACUCGCAAAACGGACGCUACCUCAGAAAUAGCCUUGGGUCCUUGCUUUUAUGUUGUUCAGUAGGAACCUGGUAGAGAGUCAACAUAGGUUCACCAUGAAAGUGAAGUAUGAUCAUCGCAGUAAAUUUUUCCAAUUUAAGCAACUGGAAAGAAGAAACCUGAAAAAAAAAUCAGGGCUUCAACCAUCUUGGACUAUUUUUGCACGACCAGACACUGCAAGAAUGAAAUAGAUUUCUACCCUGCCUUCAUGGAAAUGUUCUUCUAAGGCCAACAAUCCUAAGGCAGGUUUAUGUUGUUUACCAGGGGACCACAUACAGCAUGAAGAAAAUCAAGUGCAAUCAGCAGCCAAGAAAUUUUCAACCAAGUUGGAAGAAAAUAGAAUCAUGACCAAGCACAGAGCAAGCCUUGCCUUUAGCUAAAACCGUGACCCCCAAAACUUAUCAUGUCUUGCAUAAAUAUUUCACAGCUCAAUCUGUUCCCUUUCUCAAAUCUGGCCAAACCUUUGUGAUUUAUGAUUUAUGGUUUGCCAGUAUGGCUUAAAUACAGGCAUUUAGUGUAUGUUUGUCAAACUCCUUGACAAAAUCUACGAUAGUUAGACAAAAAUGCAUCAGAGAAUAAACAAGCUUCACAGCUGCAGUUCACAGAGUGCUGCUCACUAGUUUACCUUUUUAAAAAUUGUUUUAAAAAUUGUAAAAACACAAAAGAUCAAGGCUGUCUUAAAGGUUAAAACAGUUCCCAUUUCUUUCUACAGCGUAGAUAUGAACCAGAAAGCUCUAACCUGAGACGUAUGUGGAGAAAGAUUUGUUUUGAGGCAAUAGAUUCCAUAUCAGAUACAAAAUGGAGAAGCAAGGAAAAGACUAUGUGCAGAGACUCAAGAGGAGAAAGAAUCAAAUUGAGACAUUAGAUCACAUAAUGUAAAACAGAGAAGAAACGGUAAAAGCUGUGCUGAGACUCUUGAAGAAUCAAAUUGAGGCAUUGGAGCCCUUAUUAGGUGAGUCACAGUUUUCUUUUAAAAGGAGGGUUUUUAACCACUCAGUAGUACACAUACUAGGAAUAAUUGUACACAAUGCAGGCAAAGAAUUUAAAGGAAUAGAGAUGUUAUUGUUUCACUGUUCAGAUAUUUCAAGAAACAAUACCCUUCAGGGUUAGGUUAUACAAACAUUUUCUAAGAAUACAAUACCCCAAGCAACUGAUGUGAUUAAUAUUCAAAUUGUGAGAUACUGUAAGGGGCCUAAUUGGAUCAACGACCAAUUGUUGUCCAGUUCAUGUAUCAAUGCUUCCUUAGCCAUUAGGCCUCUAGAGUGAUCAGCUUCAAAUUUCUCCGGCUGGUUUAAAAUGUAAUCAUGAAGAAACGGUAAACAAGAUUUAGAGAGUAAUCUCAAAAAGGAAUUGUCUAGAUAACUCGAAACCUGUAAGGAGAAUUUGUUUCGUGUGUAAGGACUCUGAAUAAGGACUCAGCAAUGAGAAGAAAGGUUGCGAGCUGGAGGAUAUUGCCUUGAUAUAUCACCAAAUUCUCAGAACAAACCCUGAAAGAAAAUUACAGCAAAGAACACCAGGCAGUUUGGAUAUUUAGUUUUGUGAAAAAGAUCAUGUACCUUCUCAUUUCAAGAGUGCCAAAGUAAAAAAUGCACCCCGUUUUAUUUUGCUGUAGCAAGUACAUGAAAAUACUGCAUAGAUUCAAUUUGAGUGAACAUAGGGAUGCUAGCCAUAGAUUUUAAAGCUAAAACUCAGGGGCGUAGCUAGGGGGUCCUGG
rnacentral:lncRNA from 1 species